CUGUUCUCAGCUUGGAGGGGUUCUCCCCCUCCAGGUGAUGGUGAAGAAGACAGUUCAGCUGGCCGGGUGUUUAAAGAACUGAUGGGAGAAGUAGGAAAGGAACACAGUUCUUCCCGCCGAAUGCCUGCCAUGAUUAGGGCUAACGUGGUAGACCAUGAUGUGCCAGGGUCUCCACACCAAAGAUGAGAAUGCUGGGAGGACACACGCAAGGAGUUGCCAGGCCAUUGAAUGAAUGAACUCCUUCAAGCAGACAGCUUGGUCAGAAGACCUGGGUUUCUGUCCAGCUUUGUCAUUUGAUCAGUUGCCCAGAUUUACCUAAGUAUCUAUCCCACUGUAGGCUCCUCAAUUUCUUCAUCUGUAGGUUGAGGGGU
rnacentral:lncRNA from 1 species